UAAGGAAUAUUGCUCAAUGGGAGAAAUCCUGAAGCAGCAACGCCGCGUGGAGGAUGAAGGGUCUAUGACUUGUAAACUCCUGUAAAGAAGGAAAAAAUUCCCAUUAGAUGGAAGAUGAUGGUACUUCUGGAGUAAGCCCCGGCUAACUACGUGCCAGCAGCCGCGGUAAUACGUAGGGGGCAAGCGUUGUCCGGAUUUACUGGGUGUAAAGGGUGCUCAGGCGGAUUUGUAAGUCAGAGGUGAAAUCUUACAGCUUAACUGUGAAACUGCCUUUGAUACUGCAAGCCUAGAGUAUGGAAGAGAGUGAUGGAAUAUCUGGUGUAGCAGUGAAAUGCGUAGAUAUCAGAUAGAACACCAAUGGCGAAGGCAGUCACUUGGUCCAUUACUGACGCUAAAGCACGAAAGCGUGGGUAGCAAACA
rnacentral:rRNA from 1 species